AACGCGAAGAACCUUACCUGGGCUUGAACUACUGGUAGUAAGUCUUUGGAAACAUGGACUGAUCCGCAAGGAAGCCAGCAGAGGUGCUGCAUGGUUGUCGUCAGCUCGUGUCGUGAGAUGUUGGGUUAAGUCCCGCAACGAGCGCAACCCCUAUUCGAUGUUGCUAAUCCCGCAAGGGAUGCACUCUUCGAAAACUGCCUUCGAUAAGAAGGAGGAAGGUGGGGAUGACGUCAAAUCCUCAUGGCCCUUAUGUCCAGGGCUACACACGUGCUACAAUGGCCGGUACAACGGGAAGCAAUACCGCAAGGUGGAGCCAAACCCUUAAAGCCGGCCCCAGUUCAGAUCGUGGGCUGAAACUCGCCCACGUGAAGGCGGAAUCGCUAGUAAUCGCGAAUCAGCAGGUCGCGGUGAAUACGUUCCCGGGCCUUGUA
rnacentral:rRNA from 1 species